UUGCUGAUUCUUCACUUUCAUCUUCCUCCUCCUCCUUUGAGGUGCCUCAGCUGGAUGUAAAGAGGAGGAGGUUCAGAGGUAUCCCAUGAUCCUCUGCUUGAAUCCAGCUCUUUGAUUUGAGCGUUGGUCAUCGUCUUCCUCUCCGUUCUGCUGGCUGAGUGCACACUGCGUCUUUGUUCUGGGUCCAGUUAUCCUCUGGUCCAGUUCUGACAGGAUCCACUUAAACCUCAGGUAUCUUGUGGUCCAGAUCUGAUCUGUGGUUGGAUCCAGGUCUGCUGUCUGGACUGUUUAAAUGUUUGCAGAAGUCUCCAAACGUGGAGAAGAAUCAUUUCAGUUUUGUAGGAAAGGUGUUACGAGCUCACGCAGCGGACAGGAUCAUUGCUAAGCUAACGGUUUUCUCUUUGGAACAUCCUGAUCGGUCAAGUGAAGCCUGAGAAGAAUGUUAUGGACUCUGAAUCUUCUCACCGGCGCCACCCAGUCGAGGCUAAUGUGCAUAUAAUAAACACAGCGUCCUUAUGCUAGCUCUGCUGGCAGAGAUUUUUUUUUUCUGUUUUUUUUUUUAAUGUUCAUUUUCGUUGGAGCUGGUCUCUUGUUUGUUACCAUUUUAGUUGUUAAUAUGUACUGUGAUUAUAUAUUGUAACUGAGUAUCAGAAAAAGAGAUUUUUUUUGAGCUAUGGAAGUUAUAUUAGCGGCUGAGAGGUAAAAUAGGCUAAUGUGUGGUCAUUUUGAGUUAUUGCCCAUCAAAGUUCAGGAAAUUUUAGAUGUUUUUAUCAAAGCAUAAACAAUAAGUCAUAUGUAAUCAUAUAUAGUCAAACUUAACCCUACUGGAAAUAUUACAACAGCAUCAGGCAACAGUAGCCGAUGCUAUGAAGACGUUAACGGCUAUGAUAGAUAGCUAGGUUAUGUGUAGCAUCAGUUAGGAUGGGGGGUCAUUGCCUGGUGGAAAUUUGACCUUUGGUCAAAUGACCUUGACCUUCAUAUUAAUGAUUGACCUUUGGUUGACUUAUCCAGAGCAGUUCCAAAAUUCAACUACAUAUGUGUAGUUUUGUCCAAAUUGGACUGAAAAUAAAUUUCUUGACCCAAGGAACUUGACCUUCACAUGAAUGACUGACCUUUUGUUUACCUUUCCAGGACAAUUCCCAAAUCAAUCUACAUAAUGUAUGUGAGUCAAGAUUGGUCCAAAUCACACUAAAUCUCAAAUUCCUUGACACCAGUGACCUUGACUUUUGCCACAAUGAUCCCAUUAAAGUCAGUUACAGGGUUGACCUUCAUCCACACACCACGUUUGGUGGAAAUCAGCCGAAGGACCUGGGACAACAGGGAAACAGGCAAACGUUGUUCCUAAAAUUUACAUUUUGUGUGAUCUUCCUCUUUAACCCCUCAGCAGUGUGUUUCUGAUUUUCUGCC